ensembl:lncRNA
AUAUAUAUAUAUAUAUAUAUAUAUAUAAAUUCUAAUUUAUUGUUUCAAAAGUAUAUGACAUUAAACAUAUCAUAUUUAGUACAUUUAGUUGAGAGUUUGAACUACUGUGCAAGACUUGGCAAUCCAUUACAUUUUUUUAAAAGGCAUUCAAAGUAAUAGUAUAAUGUCCAGAGUUUGAGUUUACAUGCAUGCAGGUUAAAAUAUGUGCUUUAUUAAAGAUAAGAUUUACCUUUAAACUCUGUGGCUAGUAGGCGACCAGUGGGAAAUGGAUGCCAGGGUACAGAACCAGGAUACUCUGGAACUCCGUGAGGAGUAUGUUUAGGCCACCAGCAAAGAACAUUGACACCGUAAUAGGGGGGACAAUCUGGGCAAUAAGCCUGUUCAGAUUGGUUUCACUUGCAAAUGUCAUAGAAGGCUUCAUUAUCCACCAUGAAAAAGCAGUCUGAGUGCUCAAGAAUGGUGUGAUAAGGAUCGAAUUAUAGGGCUUCUGCUUCCAGCAAGAAUUACCCAUCUGGAACCCUGCUUGACCAAUAUGUAUGGAGAUGCACAUCCUGAUUUUGCUGUGUUAGAUGUUUGUUGACCCUGGAACAAAAUUUUAAUCCGAAAAUUUAGUUUUGACCAUAUCCCUACACCUACUGUAAACCUAACCUUAACCAUAAAUAAUCCCUAAAAUCAGAGGAAAUGAUAGAUGAAUGACACUGAUGUACAAGCACCAAACACUGAUUGUAAGCCUAAACUUCACAAAAACAAUGAACUGGUACUUCAAAUCUGAUUGGUUAAAUCACAGUGUUGUUACAGGGUCAACAAAGAUGUUGAUCCAGGAAGAUGUCACACUCGGUAAAAUCAGGUUCUGCAUAUGGAGAUGCUCUCCCUCUAGUUCAAUCAAUGUAAUUCACAAACACACACGUUAACUGCAGUGAAGUGGUAAAGCAAUAUCACUAGUAAUCCAGUCAAAUUUACCAUCAAUAAUUUCACCUUUGUACUCAAGUAUUACAGCAACCAGAAAUAAAACCAUAGCCUUUAAAUCCUGAAAAUCUAAAAUAAUAAUUUCAUCCCAGACUUCAAUGUCAAAAUGAUUAACUGUUAUUAUUCUAGAAGAAAACAACUCAUCUCCACAGCUAGACCAAACUAGCCAACUGAUUUAAAUUAUAUUGAUCUCAAAUCAGUGGGGUGUGACUUUAAAUGAAUUCUACCUGAGAUAAUGCUAAUGAAGAUAAUUAGUCUUGUAGAUUACAGCUCAUUGAUCUUUUAUUUAGCAACAAUAACAUCAACAGUUUUCAAUAUCAAAAUAAAAAAUUUUCUACUCCUGUGGAAUAAUAUAAUUUGUGCUUUUCCCUUUCCUCUCAGGGUAAAUUGUCACCAAUUAAGUCUUGCUGAUAGUACUAGAGGUAUCUUGCAAGAAAUGGUGAUUCUUUUUAUCUUAUUUGAAAUAACCUUUCUACAGGUCUCUUAAGUAGGUAAAUAUUUAAAAUGUCUUUGAGCAUUGUGAUAAAUUUGCAUACUGUACAUCCUACUACAAACUAGCCAAGUAAAUAUGCUUCAUAUUAAGUGCUUAGAUUUUGCAGGAUGUUGUUUGUAAUAAAUUAUAAUUCUGUUUUUUUCUACUUAUUUGAAAUACACAUUUCUUCAGGUCUGUUAACUUGACAAAUAUUGCAAUGUUUUUGACCAUUUUGUUGAAUUUGGAUGCAUGCUAUUCCAAAUUGCCACAGUACCCUGACAUCAUAAUAGGUGUACUGAUAGUAACAGUGUAAGAGGUCACUUGUAAGAAAUGGCCAUUACUUUUUUCUGCUCUUUUAAAACAAGCUUUCUAUACAGGUCUAGAAAAAAUGAGAAGUAUUGUAAUGUUUUAGAGCAUUUUAGCUGAACAACAGAACCACUUGCCUCAAAACUACAUACAAAAGCUUCUGCACUGGAAACAAACAGUGGCUCCUCCAUAUUGAAGAUGAUUACGGACAAUGAGAAAUACCUUACUAGCCCUUUGUCCAGGGUAUUUCGCUGCCUAUGCCCCGAGACACUGGAAUAGGCUCAAGCAACCCUAAGACCAGGGGCACUGCUAUGGUUUCCGGGCCUCCUGAACAUCAUUGACUCGGGGCCCUACUGUGAUCGUGUUCCAGGGGAGGGUGGGUUGUCCUCGGUAAAAAAUGCAUCCUGGGCCUCCCUCGCCGGGCCCUUGGAAUCGUCAUAACUUUCAAACCCCAAAUUUGAAGGUUGAUUUUUGAAAAUUAGAUUUACUUGAUGCAACACCAUCCAAUAGGCCAACAGUAAAGCAUCACAUUUAGAUCAUAGAUUGCUAACAUACAUAGAUUUUCUUUCAUGCGUUCACACUUCUAGUACAGUCUGCUGCUUGUUUUUAUGCAAAACUUCAGCAAAAAAAAAAAAAACCUUCCACCACUAGAGGUCGUUUUAUACUAUGAAAAACGCUCAAAAGUAAAGCAUGUUUGCAUGACGUUUGCAAUUACAGAAGAAAACAGCUGUAGAUGGAGAAACAUAUCAUAAGCAGAAUAGAACACUGAAUUAUGCACAUUUAUUGUAAAUGGACAUAUGGGCUCCUUCAGUAAUGACACACUUAAGACAUAACUAGCUCAAACAACUAAGUUAAAAAAUAAUUUUAAGAUAUAUGGUUUUCUGUAGCUAUAUUUGUAAGGUCAAAAAGCAAUUGUAACUAGCAGGCUAAAUGCCCUUUAUUAAUUGGUGUUGUUUGUCCACAUUGCAAUGGAAUGCUAUUCGGUUGUGGUAUAUGAAUCAAUUUUUCUAAUCAACUCUAACGGCAUAAAGAGAGCUUUACUGAUGUGCAUCAUUGGUUUUAGAAAAGGAUUUCCAGUGCUCUUACUCUUUUCAGCUAAAACCUGUGCGGAUAAAAACAGAGAUAUCCUGACAGAGAUAGAUCCUUGCUUUUACUGAGAGGGCAGUAGGCUAAACAUUUCACUUUAGCACCAUAUAAUUGGCUGGGUUAUCAAAAAUUUUGUCCACAAAACUAUUCAGGAUUCAUCUUUAGUAUUCUAAUUCAAUUUCAGCUAUAGUGGAAACGAUAAGGCAGGUUGGACAAAGACACUGAAUUAUAUAUGACUUCUCCAAAAGCUAAUUGGACUCAGUUACAGAGAAAAUUAAAGCAUAUAAAACCUAGUUCCUUUUUGUUUUUUUUUUUGUUUUUUUUUAAUAUCACUGGUGACAGAGAUCGGCCAGGCUCUGAGUUUCCCCAAUCACAGUAAACAUCCUUAACUGAUUACUAACUAGCCACACCUUCACUCCAUCAAAUUCACUUAUCAGCACCACUACUUGAGCACACACCUCAUCUCUCCUUAUUGUACAGUCUUGUUUAUUUGAAGUGGAUUGCUUACAUGUUCUUCUGCUCUCUAGUGAUAAUCUCCAGCAUGCCUUCCCCACCUUCAUGUCUCCAGUGUCAUAUGUUAGGGAUUACCUGAAAACUUGCUCCUUGCGAUGAGGUGUGUGUGCUCACUCUCCAUCUGCUCCACCGUCCAUGAUUUCCUGCACAUAAGGAAAGUCCUGUUAUCAUUCUCAUCAAGCACUACUAUACUAUUAUUGAACUGCUACUGUACUUACCUGCCAUUACCUGCAUUGCUUAUAUUUGUCAAAAAAAGACACUGUUUGCUCCUUCAGCCCAUGUCUGUAUUCCGUAACAACUGACUGUUCAUUAAAUAUAAACAUUUCAACCUGCAUUUUCCAUUUUCCACAUGUAAAUUAAAAGCACAGUGAAAAACCCCAUGGCUAUAUCCAAUAUUUUAAUUUGGUGUGAUAAUGCUGUGUUUUUCAUUGCAUUAAAAGAAAAAGGAUUUGUCCAAAUUAUAGUGUACUUCAUAGCUCUGUGUUUGUCAUGAUCAAACUGUCUUUCAAGUAACAUCUGAAAUCCAAAAUAUAUUUACCCGAACAUUUCAAAGAAAGUGGAAUUGUGAUGAUGUUU